AAAGUCACAACGGUGAAAAGAUGAGCAUGCGUCCCAUUAGCUAGUUGGUAGGGUAACGGCUUACCAAGGCAACGAUGGGUAGGGGUCCUGAGAGGGAGAUCCCCCACACUGGUACUGAGACACGGACCAGACUCCUACGGGAGGCAGCAGUGAGGAAUAUUGGUCAAUGGACGCAAGUCUGAACCAGCCAUGCCGCGUGCAGGAUGACGGUCCUAUGGAUUGUAAACUGCUUUUGUACGAGAAGAAACACUCCUACGUGUAGGAGCUUGACGGUAUCGUAAGAAUAAGGAUCGGCUAACUCCGUGCCAGCAGCCGCGGUAAUACGGAGGAUCCAAGCGUUAUCCGGAAUCAUUGGGUUUAAAGGGUCCGUAGGCGGUUUAGUAAGUCAGUGGUGAAAGCCCAUCGCUCAACGGUGGAACGGCCAUUGAUACUGCUGAACUUGAAUUAUUAGGAAGUAACUAGAAUAUGUAGUGUAGCGGUGAAAUGCUUAGAGAUUACAUGGAAUACCAAUUGCGAAGGCAGGUUACUACUAAUUGAUUGACGCUGAUGGACGAAAGCGUGGGUAGCGAACAGGAUUAGAUACCCUGGUAGUCCACGCCGUAAACGAUGGAUACUAGCUGUUGGGGGCAACUUCAGUGGCUAAGCGAAAGUGAUAAGUAUCCCACCUGGGGAGUACGUUCGCAAGAAUGAAACUCAAAGGAAUUGACGGGGGCCCGCACAAGCGGUGGAGCAUGUGGUUUAAUUCGAUGCAACGCG
rnacentral:rRNA from 1 species